rnacentral:rRNA from 1 species
GUCGGGAAUAUUGCGCAAUGGAGGAAACUCUGACGCAGUGACGCCGCGUAUAGGAUGAAGGUUUUCGGAUUGUAAACUAUUGUCAUUAGGGAAGAUAAAAGACAGUACCUAAGGAGGAAGCUCCGGCUAACUACGUGCCAGCAGCCGCGGUAAUACGUAGGGAGCAAGCGUUAUCCGGAUUUAUUGGGUGUAAAGGGUGCGUAGACGGGAGAUUAAGUUAGUUGUGAAAGCCCUCGGCUUAACUGAGGAAUUGCAACUAAAACUGGUUUUCUUGAGUGCAGGAGAGGUAAGUGGAAUUCCUAGUGUAGCGGUGAAAUGCGUAGAUAUUAGGAGGAACACCAGUGGCGAAGGCGACUUACUGGACUGUAACUGACGUUGAGGCACGAAAGUGUGGGGAGCAAACAGGAUUAGAAACCCCAGUAGUCC